CGACCGGCGCACGGGUGAGUAACACGUAUGGAACCUGCCCUAUGCAGGGGGAUAAGCGGAAGAAAUUCCGUCUAAUACCGCAUAACACCAUUUGGAGACAUCUCCAGGGGGUCAAAGGAGGCGACUCCGGCAUAGGAUGGCCAUGCGUCGCAUUAGCUAGUCGGCGGGGUAACGGCCCACCGAGGCGACGAUGCGUAGGGGUUCUGAGAGGAAGGUCCCCCACACUGGUACUGAGACACGGACCAGACUCCUACGGGAGGCAGCAG
rnacentral:rRNA from 1 species